rnacentral:rRNA from 1 species
GACGAACGCUGGCGGCGUGCUUAACACAUGCAAGUCGAACGGAAAGGCCCUGCUUUUGUGGGGUGCUCGAGUUGACACCUGGUGAGUAACACGUGAGUACCCUGUCCCUCACUUUGGGAUAACUUCAGGCCACUGGGUCUAUUACCGGCUAGGAGCUACUGCUGCAUGGUGGGGGUUGGAAGGUUUCGGCGGUUGGGCAUGGAAUCGCGGCUUAUCAGCUUGUUGGUGGGGUAGUGGCUUACCAAGGCUUUGACGGGUAGCCGGCCUGCGAGGGUGACCGGCCACAUUGGGACUGAGAUACGGCCCAGACUCCUACGGGAGGCAGCAGUGGGGAAUGUUGCACAAUGGGCGGAAGCCUGAUGCAGCAACGCCGCGUGCGGGAUGACGGCCUUCGGGUAGUAAACCGCUUUCGCCUGUGACGAAGCGUGAGUGACGGUAAUGGGUAAAGAAGCACCGGCUAACUACGUG